ACUUCCAGCUCAUGUUCUUCAUCAAAGCCUCGCGAUCCGACCGCCGGCGUUCCCGAAGCGCCGCCUGUAUGAACAAUCCCAUCCUCAACUAAGACACAAGAUUCAGCGUGAGCGGCGCCUCUCGGCCGGCGGCCGCACGGAGACAUCGGCACCGCGCCGCGGCUGAGGAGCUCCCGCUCAGAAUAUCAAUAAUAGUUAUAACUGUAGGAAUAAUAAUCAUAUUAUGGUACAAUAAAGACAUCUGACUCCCCGUUCAGGCUCCGACGGGAGUCCAGUGAUUCGCUGUUGCUAUGAUACAAUGA